rnacentral:rRNA from 1 species
GAUGAACGCUGGCGGCGUGCCUAAUACAUGCAAGUUGAGCGAACAGAUGAGGAGCUUGCUCCUCUGACGUUAGCGGCGGACGGGUGAGUAACACGUGGAUAACCUACCUAUAAGACUGGGAUAACUUCGGGAAACCGGAGCUAAUACCGGAUAAUAUAUUGAACCGCAUGGUUCAAUAGUGAAAGACGGUUUUGCUGUCACUUAUAGAUGGAUCCGCGCCGCAUUAGCUAGUUGGUAAGGUAACGGCUUACCAAGGCAACGAUGCGUAGCCGACCUGGGAGGGUGAUCGGCCACACUGGAACUGAGACACGGUCCAGACUCCUACGGGAGGCAGCAGUAGGGAAUCUUCCGCAAUGGGCGAAAGCCUGACGGAGCAACGCCGCGUGAGUGAUGAAGGUCUUCGGAUCGUAAAACUCUGUUAUUAGGGAAGAACAAAUGUGUAAGUAACUAUGCACGUCUUGACGGUACCUAAUCAGAAAGCCACGGCUAACUACGUG